GAUGAACGCUGGCGGCGUGCCUAAUACAUGCAAGUCGAGCGAACAGAUGAGGAGCUUGCUCCUCUGACGUUAGCGGCGGACGGGUGAGUAACACGUGGAUAACCUACCUAUAAGACUGGGAUAACUUCGGGAAACCGGAGCUAAUACCGGAUAAUAUAUUGAACCGCAUGGUUCAAUAGUGAAAGACGGUUUUGCUGUCACUUAUAGAUGGAUCCGAGCCGCAUUAGCUAGUUGGUAAGGUAACGGCUUACCAAGGCAACGAUGCGUAGCCGACCUGAGAGAGUGAUCGGCCACACUGGAACUGAGACACGGUCCAGACUCCUACGGGAAGCAGCAGUAGGGAAUCUUACGCGAAGGGCGAAAGCCUGACGGAGCAACGACGCGUGAAUGAUGAAGGUCUUCGGAUCGUAAAACUCUGUUAUUAGGGAAGAACAAAUGUGUAAGUAACUAUGCACGUCUUGACGGUACCUAAACAGAAAGCCACGGCUAACUACGUG
rnacentral:rRNA from 1 species